rnacentral:rRNA from 1 species
GACGGUACGCUGGCGGCGUGCUAUACAUGCAAGUCGAGCGAACGGAUAAGGAGCUUGCUCCUUUGAAGUUAGCGGCGGACGGGUGAGUAACACGUGGGUAACCUACCUAUAAGACUGGAAUAACUUCGGGAAACCGGAGCUAAUGCCGGAUAACAUUUGGAACCGCAUGGUUCUAAAGUAAAAGAUGGUUUUGCUAUCACUUAUAGAUGGACCCGCGCCGUAUUACCUAGUUGGUAAGGUAACGGCUUACCAAGGCAACGAUACGUAUCCGACCUGAGAGGGUGAUCGGCCACACUGGAACUGAGACACGGUCCAGACUCCUACGGGAAGCAGCAGUAGGGAAUCUUCCGCAAUGGACGAAAGUCUGACGGAGCAACGCCGCGUGAGUGAUGAAGGUUUUCGGAUCGUAAAACUCUGUUAUUAGGGAAGAACAAAUGUGUAAGUAACUGUGCACAUCUUGACGGUACCUAAUCAGAAAGCCACGGCUAACUACGUGCCAGCAGCCGCGGUAAUACGUAGGUGGCAAGCGUUAUCCGGAAUUAUUGGGCGUAAAGCGCGCGUAGGCGGUUUCUUAAGUCUGAUGUGAAAGCCCACGGCUCAACCGUGGAGGGUCAUUGGAAACUGGGAAACUUGAGUACAGAAGAGGAGAGUGGAAUUCCAUGUGUAGCGGUGAAAUGCGCAGAGAUAUGGAGGAACACCAGUGGCGAAAGCGACUUUCUGGUCUGUAACUGACGCUGAUGUGCGAAAGCGUGGGGAUCAAACAGGAUUAGAUACCCUGGUAGUCCACGCCGUAAACGAUGAGUGCUAAGUGUUAGGGGUUUCCGCCCCUUAGUGCUGCAGCUAACGCAUUAAGCACUCCGCCUGGGGGAGUACGACGGCAAGGUUGAAACUCAAAGGAAUUGACGAGGACCCGCACAAGCGGUGGAGCAUGUGUUUAAUUCGAAGCAACGCGAAGAACCUUACAAAUCUGACAGUCGGUUGAAAACUCUAGAGAUAGAGCUUCCCUCGGGGACAAAGUGACAGUGCUGCAUGAUGUCGUCAGCUCUGUCAUGAGAUGUGGGUAGUUCCGCUACGAGCGCACCGUGAAACUAGUGCAGCAUUUAUUUGUCAUCUAGUGACUGCGUGACAAACGGAAGAAGGUGGGAGUGACGUCAAUCAAUCAUGCGUUAGAUCGCUCACACCUGCUCAAAUGGCAGAUAAAAGGCGUCCUCAUCAC